ACGGGGAGCAGCAGGCGCGAAACCUUUACACUGCACGACAGUGCGAUAGGGGGACUCCGAGUGCGAGGGCAUACAGUCCUCGCUUUUCUGUACCGUAAGGUGGUACAGGAACAAGUGCUGGGCAAGACCGGUGCCAGCCGCCGCGGUAAUACCGGCAGCACGAGUGAUGGCCGCUAUUAUUGGGCCUAAAGCGUCCGUAGCCGGCCGGACAAGUCCGUCGGGAAAUCCACGUGCUUAACGCGUGGGCGUCCGGCGGAAACUGUUCGGCUUGGGGCCGGAAGACCCGAGGGGUACGUCCGGGGUAGGAGUGAAAUCCCGUAAUCCUGGACGGACCGCCGGUGGCGAAAGCGCCUCGGGAAGACGGACCCGACGGUGAGGGACGAAAGCUAGGGUCUCGAACCGGAUUAGAUACCCGGGUAGUCCUAGCCGUAAACGAUGCCCGCUAGGUGUGGCACUGGCUACGAGC
rnacentral:rRNA from 1 species